CCCCUAGAUGUUCUGGGCCGCACGCGCGCUACACUGAACAGUUCAACAAGUCUUAACCUUGGCCGAUAGGUCUGGGUAAUCUUUGAACGCUGUUCGUGAUUGGGAUAGACCUUUGCAAUUAUGGGUCUUCAACGAGGAAUUCCUAGUAAACGCAAGUCACCAGCUUGCAUUGAUUACGUCCCUGCCCUUUGUACACACCGCCCGUCGCACCUACCGAUUGAAUGGUCCGGUGAAGCCUCCGGAUUGGCGCGCACCUCGGUGCCGCCGAGAAGUUGGCUAAACCUUACCAUUUAGAGGAAGGUGAAGUCGUAACA
rnacentral:rRNA from 1 species